UACGGGGGAUCUAAAUUCAUGACUCAAUUUUUCUUUCUAUAGAGGAGAUAUAAGCGUGCUACGAUUAAGAAAUCAUACUUGUCCAUUUCUCAUAUUUGAAGGGUGGCUCUGCUAACCUAAUCAAACAAAUGGACUAACCUAUUUUUAUUUUUCUAAAUGGAAUGUACGUCUAAAUGUUAUGUUUCACGUAAAUAGGGGUAAGGGAGACAAUAUGUAGAAGAAAUAUCGUGCAAAAUGAGAAAAGGGUCUAAAAAUGAAAAACAUGUAUGAAAUGUAAUGAAUAUCAUGCAAAGAAUGUGAAUCUACUGCGAGACGGUUUAAAGGGUCUAACAUUGGAUUAACCAAUUUCUACUAGUCUUUACUAGCGUUAGACUAGUGAAAAAUCGAGGAGAAAGGCCACAACUAGCGUUGUACUAGUGUGAUGACGUCAUGCAUUUAUUAUAACUAAAUAAAUCUUAUAAAACAUAAUUAAAUCAACUAAAUACAUAAUGCACAUAGAAUACAUAACACAUAGGCUUAAUUUUUAGAUGCAAAACCCUAAUAAAAAAGAAUAAACACGUAAGCACACAAGCAAGUAAGCGCAAAUAAAAGCCUAACUAUUACAUUCGAGGCCCUAACUAUAAUCUAAAGGGAAAAAUUUUAAAAAUAAUAAUCUAACUAUUACAUUUAUCUAACUAAUUAUAUUUUUUGGCAAAAAAUUAAAACCUAUCUAUUACAUAGCCUAACUAAAACCUAUCUUUUGGACCAUUUUUAUUUCUUUUUUGGGCCAAAGCCUCCUAAGGCCAGUGAAAAGUCCAAGGAAAAAUACACAGGCCAGCCCAUAACUUUAAUCAAACUAACCCAGCUGAAAAUGCAUGGGCCUUGGCUUUCAAGCUCAAGUCAAAAUCCAAUCAGAAAUAACUAAAACCCACUUCCAAAAAUCCAAACAAACCAUUAAUCAUCUAAAAAAAUUAAGACCCAAUUAUGUCCUAUAACCCGGAAAUAAUUUGCUCAAAAACACAUUUAAAACAUAAAAAAAGAGGAUUAAAACUUAAAAGAGGCAAAAUUAGUUCAAUUUUUUCAUAUUUUGGACCAUAGUGGAAUUAUUUAAAAAUUGGGGGCCAAAAUAUAAAUUUUCCAGAUUAUUCAUGCAAGCUCAUCGCAGCUUUCUUCUACCCUUCUUCUUCUGCAACUUUGCAACCCAUUCUAUUACAACAUUUCUUACUCUAGGUCAAACAAAAAAAAAACCAUCGAUUUAUCAAUCAAACACCAGUACAAGGAGUCCAACCCAUUUUUAUUUGACAAAACCCAACUACAAAUUCCAUUUCUUGGGGAUCAAGCGAAGAAAGACAAGCAGGAAGAAUGUGAAAUCAACUCAUGGCGGAACCAAUGAAUAGAUCCACCGGAUUCUGAAGAUUUUCUGAUCAAACCAUUAAAUUAUCAAACAUCAUACAAACCCUUUUGUGCGAAUUCCACCCAUCUAAAUAAUCUUUCAACACAUCACAAAUCACAAAAAAUCUAAGAACCUAAUUCAUGCAGACCAACUCAUGUAAUGACCCAACAAUCUCAUGAAAUAACGUUAAAUAGAUUAAGAGGGAAAACUAUCAUCACCUACAAAUUAUUGAGGCUCGAAUCGAUGUAAGAAAAGCUGAAAAAUCUUGAAAAAAGUCACUGAAACGAAGCCGAACAAGUUCCGUUGCAGACCUUGCAAUGCUGAUAAUCUCGUGAUUUUGAGCUCGGAUUCAAAGGGGUUAACGAUGUUUUUUGGAGAAAGUUUCAAGACAAAAUUUGUUGUCCUACAUCUACAGAUAAUGCAGAAACAAAAGGAUCCUCAAAGGGUUAAAAUCAAAGUGAGAAUUGGAUCCAAAGAGGGCUGGUGCAUCAGCUCGGUAUCAAGUUUUCCAGCAAUUUUUCUUUCUUUUUUUCUCUCUAAUUUUUCUUUCAUUUCUCUCUUUUCUCUCCCUUUUUUGCUUUUCUGCCGCCUCCCUCUUGUUUCUUCUUACCCUAGUGUUGCAUUUUUGAAGGUUUUUUCAGGAACAAGGGCUGUUAAACCCUCAUAUCAAUGGUUCUUAAAAAACAGAUUUGUUGCAAAUUUUGGAGCCAUUAGAUGGCUUUAAUUCCAGAAGAUUCUUGAUGUUUUGGAUUAAGGCCAAGUGGCCAUGUAUUGGGGGACUUGAAGAGAAAGCAAAAAUGUAAAAAAAAAUGCAUGAAAAUAGGAUGAAAAUGCAGUUGCAAUAUUGUACCAUGUUCAUAUUUAUGGCUUCUAGUACGAAACCAUGAAGAUGAUGCGCGUGUGCUCAGGUACUUUUUUUUUUUCCAAAAAAUGUAUUGAUUUUUCUAAUUCUUCUUCCUACUUUUCUUUUUGAUUUUUCUAAUUUUUCUUCCUAGUUUUCUUUACUUUCCUUUUCUUUUUCGAUUUUCCUAAAAAAAUGAUUUGAAGUGAUUUUCUUAAGAAACAGAAAUGAAAUAAAAUAAGCUAAAAUAAUAAAAUUUAAACAAAAUAAACUAAAAAUGAACAAAAAUAAGAAUAAAAAUGAAGCAAAAUAAAUGAAAAAAUUUUAGUAUCUACUUGCCCUCUUUGUGUGAAUUUCGCAGAAAUUCAAGAUAAAGAUAUAGAUACCAAAUUACUCACUUGUUUAACCCAACUAGAUCUGAAUUGACUAGUAAAACCUAAUAAAUUGAAAAAUCAAAGUCUAGAAAAUAAAAGGGUUGGUGGGAUAAAAUUUGAACCCAAUAAAAUAACUAUUGGUGGGAUAAAAUUCAAAUUCAACAAAAUAAAGGUUGGUGGAAUGAAAGCCAAAUCUCACAAAAUAAACGGUUGGUGAAAUAAAAUCCAAACCCAACAAAAUAACUGUUGGUGGGAUAAAAUUCAAAUCCAAUAAAAUAAAGGUUUGUAAGAUAAAACUCAACCCCAACAAAAUAAUGGUUGGUGGGAUUAAAUUCAAACCCAACAAAAUAACAGUUUGUGAGAUAAAACUCAAACCCAACAAAAAAAAGAUCGGUGAGAUAAAAUUCAAACCCAAUAAAAUAAACAAUUGGUGUGAUAAAACUCAAACCCAAUAUGGUUGAUGGGAUAAAUGAUAGGGUGCAUUUGAGUGGAGUAUUUCCCUGUUAUUUCAUAGUUGUUGGGACUAAAUGUUGCUCUAUUUGAUGGAUUCUACUCAGGUUUGGCGGUUUGUAUUAAUUGUAGGAAGUAAUGUUAAAAAGUGCUGAAAAUCAAAUUUCAGAGGACUUCUUGACACUUAGGUGUGCUCACGCCUAACCCCGAUCCAAAAAGCCGUACUCAGUCGCACGUGGGAAGCUCCAGAAUAUUGAGCGAUGCAGUGGACUACAACUUUGGAAAACAGUGGUGUCACUCCCAAGCUGAAGAGAGCUAUCUGUAAUAGGAUUUGUUAAUAAGGAAAUUUUUGGUAGUCGGUUACCAACUUUUCAACAUAAGUAGAUAACGUGCGAAGAGCUGUGAUGACCUGGAGGUUUUCGUCGUCCUCUCACGUGCCGCACAUGUGGGUUAGCAGCAUUGUGUUGUUCGCGCAUGGCGCGGCGGGUUCAGCUCCGUUGGCCUCUUCUCUUUCUGUCAGUAACCCAUGUGUCUCCUGCUGCGUUCUCUACCGCAUUGAUAGACUUGUUUCUCUAUCUGGCAGAAUCCAAUGCCUCUGCUUUCGCCUAACUUCUCUCUCUGCUUCUUCUUGACGAUAUUGCUCUGUUUCUCUUCUUACUAUGCAAGGAGCAUUGAUCCUCGGUCUCUCGCGGUCUCUGGGUUGCAGUGGUCUCCGUUGUAUUAUUUUUAUCUCUUCUUCUUUUUACUUCCGGUGAAGUGCAUGAUUCAC
rnacentral:lncRNA from 1 species